CGUGAGAAUCUGCCUUUAGGACGGGGACAACGACUGGAAACGGUCGCUAAUACCCGAUAUGCCUUUUCAGUGAAAAGGAGAAAUCCGCCUGAAGAUGAGCUCGCGUCCGAUUAGCUAGUUGGUGGGGUAAUGGCCUACCAAGGCUGCGAUCGGUAGCUGGUCUGAGAGGAUGAUCAGCCACACUGGGACUGAGACACGGCCCAGACUCCUACGGGAGGCAGCAGUGAGGAAUUUUCCGCAAUGGGCGCAAGCCUGACGGAGUCAUACCGCGUGCGGGACGACGCUCUAGGGAGUGUAAACCGCUUUUGACAGGGAAGAAUCCAUGACGGUACCUGUCGAAUCAGCCUCGGCUAACUCCGUGCCAGCAGCCGCGGUAAUACGGAGGAGGCAAGCGUUAUCCGGAAUUAUUGGGCGUAAAGGGUUUGUAGAUGGUUGGAUGUGUCUGCUGUUAAAGCCAAUAGCUCAACUAUUGAGGUGCAGCGGAAACUAUUUAACUAGAGGACAGUAGGGGCAGAGGGAAUUCCCAGUGUAGCGGUGAAAUGCGUAGAUAUUGGGAAGAACACCGGUGGCGAAAGCGCUCUGCUAGGCUGUACCUGACAUUGAUGAACGAAAGCUAGGGGAGCGAAAGGGAUUAGAUACCCCUGUAGUCCUAGCUGUAAACGAUGGAUACUCGAUGUGGCGGGUAUUGACCCCCGCCGUGUCUAAGCUAACGCGAUAAGUAUCCCGCCUGGGGAGUACGCACGCAAGUGUG
rnacentral:rRNA from 1 species